UGCCAUCGGAUGUGCCCAGAUGGGAUUAGCUAGUAGGUGGGGUAAAGGCUCACCUAGGCGACGAUCCCUAGCUGGUCUGAGAGGAUGACCAGCCACACUGGAACUGAGACACGGUCCAGACUCCUACGGGAGGCAGCAGUGGGGAAUAUUGCACAAUGGGCGCAAGCCUGAUGCAGCCAUGCCGCGUGUAUGAAGAAGGCCUUCGGGUUGUAAAGUACUUUCAGCGGGGAGGAAGGGAGUAAAGUUAAUACCUUUGCUCAUUGACGUUACCCGCAGAAGAAGCACCGGCUAACUCCGUGCCAGCAGCCGCGGUAAUACGGAGGGUGCAAGCGUUAAUCGGAAUUACUGGGCGUAAAGCGCACGCAGGCGGUUUGUUAAGUCAGAUGUGAA
rnacentral:rRNA from 1 species